rnacentral:lncRNA from 10 species
AACAUGAAGCAGACAUGCUUGAUGAAGAUGCCAUGAAGAGGGAAACAGGAAGACGGAGUUAUCUGAGAAAAGGUCUGCAUUAGGGAGAAAAUGGAGCCAUGUCUUUUCAAGAACCAGGGAACCAGACAGAUUAUUCUUCUAGCUCUGGCAUUUGAUACCUACAGAGCGUUGCCAGACUGAUUGGAACCACCUGUAUUCCAUUUCAAAGUCCUCCUGGAAAAGAUUCAUUAGCUUAAGUCAGCAGUUCAAUUAAUUGGAGCUAUAAGUGGAAUAACAGAGAUGUACAAUCAAUGAAAACUACCUGGAAGUAAAGUAAACAACCUGUGAUUUCUGUAUUUCUGUAUAAAGGAGAACGUUACCAAAAGAAUGUGUCCUGGGACAAAGAUCCAGAAUUGAGAAGAGAAAUGACAAAAAUAAGGAGGGUCAACAAAACCCACAUCACUUGAAUAAUUAUCUGCUAAGAUCAUUAAUCCUAGAGUGACACCAGGGUAUUCAGCAAAGAUUCCUCGAUCCAUCAACUCUGAAAGAGGACUACUGGAUUUGGGGUAGAAUAGAGGAUAAAUAAAUGGACAAGAAGAGUUGGAAGAGUUGACCUGUGGAGGAUAAAACCUAGACCCAAGGUUUCUAUGUAUGUGGAAUUAAGAGGCAGGUGCACAAAGUCCUAAAAUUGAAUAAAGGUCACUCAGAGAGACACCUGGA